UCGUCCCCUUUCCUCCGUCAUUCUCUAGAGCAUUCCUUCUUCCGAGCCCCUUCUCUGGCCCUUUUGGAGUUAAAGCCCAGCUCCGUAGUAUUCCUUAUCCUUGUAGUCGAAUUGCCUCGGCCUUCGGUUGGUGUGUGAGUGCGUGAGUGGGUGAGUGAAUACAUUGCAAGGUAUUUGCAAUUCUGCUCUUGGUUGCGUAAUUGAGGUAGUUUUGUGGAUUGGGAAGAAUUUCGUAUCAUGGCUGCUGCUUCCAUGGCUAUAGCCGGGUCUGCUGCGACUGCUUCUCUCAGGGUGAGCUCUGAGAGCCGGGCACCUUCCUCCUUGAGUUCUUCCUCUGCCAUUGGCCGCGUGGGAUUUAGUGGCGGUUUGAACCAGCGGAGGCAGCGGGUUGCGCACCGUACGACGGUUAAGGCUGCGAAGGAGCUGCACUUCAAUAAGGAUGGCUCUGCUAUCAAGAAGAUGCAGGCUGGAGUUGAUAAGCUCGCGGAUCUUGUGGGUGUCACCUUGGGCCCUAAGGGUCGCAACGUCGUGCUUGAGAGCAAGUACGGGUCUCCUAAGAUUGUGAAUGACGGAGUCACCGUAGCCAAGGAGGUCGAGCUCGAAGACCCAGUGGAGAAUAUUGGAGCCAAGUUGGUGAGGCAGGCAUCUGCGAAGACCAACGAUUUGGCUGGAGAUGGCACCACUACCUCCGUGGUGCUUGCACAAGGACUCAUUGCCGAGGGUGUCAAGGUUGUCGCAGCAGGAGCCAACCCAGUUCAAAUUACCAGGGGCAUUGACAGAACUGUUAUUGCCUUGGUGAAGGAGCUGAAGAACAUGUCAAAGGAGGUAGAAGACAGCGAAUUGGCUGACGUUGCUGCUGUUAGUGCCGGCAACAACCCUGAAAUUGGGCAGAUGAUUGCCGAGGCUAUGGGCAAGGUGGGACGCAAGGGUGUGGUUACCAUGGAGGAAGGGAGAAGUGCUGAGAACCACUUGUACGUGGUAGAGGGUAUGCAGUUCGACAGGGGCUACAUUUCCCCCUACUUCGUGACAGACCCCGAGAAGAUGUCUGUGGAGUACGACAACUGCAGGCUCCUCUUGGUCGACAAGAAGAUCACCACUGCUCGUGAUAUGAUUGGGAUUUUGGAGGAAACCAUCCGCGGUGGGUUCCCACUCUUGAUCAUAGCUGAGGAUAUUGAGCAGGAAGCCCUGUCUACACUGGUGGUCAACAAGUUGAGAGGCUCACUUAAGGUUGCUGCUUUGAAGGCACCUGGUUUCGGUGAGAGGAAGAGCCAGUACCUGGAUGAUAUUGCCAUCCUCACCAGUGGAACCGUGAUCCGGGAUGAGAUUGGUCUGGCCCUUGACAAAGUUGGUACUGAAGUGUUGGGUACUGCCGCCAAGGUUGUCCUUACCAAGGAUUCAACCACGAUUGUUGGAGAUGGCAGUACUCAAGAUGCAGUUGAGAAGCGUGUGGCCCAAAUCCGCAACCUCAUCGAAAUCGCCGAGCAAGAAUAUGAAAAGGAGAAGUUGAAUGAGAGAAUUGCUAAGUUGUCUGGAGGUGUGGCCAUCAUUCAGGUGGGAGCUCAAACUGAGACAGAAUUGAAGGAGAAGAAGCUCCGUGUUGAGGAUGCGCUGAACGCUACCAAAGCCGCCGUGGAGGAAGGUAUCGUUGUGGGUGGAGGAUGCACUUUGUUGAGACUGGCCAGCAAAGUGGAUGCUAUCAAGGAAUCUUUAGACAACGACGAGCAAAAGGUUGGUGCAGACAUCGUGAAACGGGCUUUGUGCUACCCUCUGAAGCUUAUUGCCAAGAAUGCCGGCGUGAACGGGAGUGUGGUGGUUGAGAAGGUUCUAGCCAAUGAAAACUCAUCCUUCGGUUAUAAUGCUGCUACUGGUGUGUACGAGGAUCUCAUGGCCGCUGGUAUCAUCGACCCUGCAAAGGUUGUGAGGUGUUGCCUGGAGCACGCUGCCUCGGUCGCCAAGAUUUUCUUGACCUCUGAUGUUGUAGUUACUGAAAUUAAGGAACCAGAGCCUGUUCAAGCUGGCAACCCCAUGGAUGCAUCAGGAUAUGGUUAUUAAGGAGUUGAGCGUUUUGAAUAAUGCCUCUGAUUUUUAAAGCAGAUUUUUUUUAGUAGUAAUUUUGAGAGGGCGACUCUGUAGCAGAGACGGAUGUGUAGCGUAGCUAGCCUCAGUAACGAGAUGAUUGCCUUAGCCUAUAGUGCAACUCUUCUUGUGAAGAGCAGCUACCUACUACUUGGAAUUAGAACAAGAGGUCACAGAAUUCAUUCAAAGAUGUCACACAAGUACUAGAACAUACGUAGACUCUUACAAGUGUACCAGGUUCAGGUUUAGGGUUGCGUUACCCUCUUGGUAGGAAAUGAAACAUGACCUUUGGUCUGUGGAACAUGACACAUGCGCAAUGCAUAAUUUCUUUGAUUCACACCUGGUUGAUUUGAACUUGUCACGGGAAUAGAAGUCAAUUAUGAACUGUUCUUACCCAAUUGCACUGUUAGUUCAAUUGAAAAAUAAUCAUGUGCCCAUCUAAACAAUGUGCCAAUUCAUAUCGAAA